GGUAAACGCUGGCGGCGUGCCUAAAACAUGCAAGUCGAACGGGCGGACGCUUUCGGGUGUCCGUCAGUGGCAGACGGCUGAGUAACGCGUGGACGACCAUCCCUGGUGUGGGGAAUAACUGCCCGAAAGGGUGGCUAAGACCGCAUACGUUUCCAUGUUCGAUCAUGGAAGAAAGCAGCAAUGCGCACCAGGACGGGUCCGCGUCCGAUUAGCUGGUUGGUGGGGUAACGGCCUACCAAGGCGACGAUCGGUAGCUGGUCUCAGAGGAUGAUCAGCCAGA
rnacentral:rRNA from 1 species